rnacentral:rRNA from 1 species
UACGAGUGCCUCGAGCGUUAUCCGGAAUCAUUGGGCGUAAAGGGUGUGUAGGCGGCGAUGUUAGUCUCCCGUAAAAUCUUUCGGCUCAACCGAGAGUCCGCGGGAGAAACGGCAUUGCUUGAGAGUGGAAGGGGUCUCUGGAACUCUAGGUGUAGCGGUGAAAUGCGUUGAUAUCUAGGGGAACACCAAAAGCGAAGGCAGGAGACUGGUCCAUUUCUGACGCUGAAACACGAAAGCGUGGGUAGCGAAUGGG